rnacentral:rRNA from 1 species
UACGGAGGGAGCUAGCGUUGUUCGGAUUCAUUGGGCGUAAAGGGUGCGUAGGCGGCGCGGUAAGUCGGAUGUGAAAUCUCGGAGCUUAACUCCGAAACUGCAUUCGAUACUGCCGUGCUUGAGGACUGGAGAGGAGACUGGAAUUUACGGUGUAGCGGUGAAAUGCGUAGAUAAUCGUAAGGAAGACCAGUGGCGAAGGCGGGUCUCUGGACAGGUUCCUGACGCUGAGGCACGAAGGCCAGGGGAGCAAACGGG